rnacentral:rRNA from 1 species
GACGAACGCUGGCGGCGUGCUUAACACAUGCAAGUCGAACGAAGUGGCGAACGGGUGAGUAAAGCGUAAUCAACCUGCCCUUCAGAGGGGGACAACAGUUGGAAACGACUGCUAAUACCGCAUACUGAAGGAGGGGAUUGCGUCUGAUUAGCUAGGUGGAGGGGUAACGGCCAACCAAGGCGAUGAUCAGUAGCCGGUCUGGAAGGAUGAACGGCCACAUUGGGACUGGAGCACGGCCCAGACUCCUACGGGGGGCAACAGGGGGGAAUCUUCCGCAAAUGACGGAAGUCUGACGGAGCAACUCCGCGUGAGUGAUGACGGCCUUCGGGUUGUAAAGCUCUUUUAAUCGGGACGCGGUACCGGAAUAGAAAGCCACGGCUAACUACGUGCCAGCAGCCGCGGUAAUAC